AGAGUUUGAUCAUGGCUCAGGAUGAACGCUAGCGGCAGGCUUAAUACAUGCAAGUCGUGGGGCAGCGCAGGUAGCAAUACUGGGCGGCGACCGGCAAACGGGUGCGGAACACGUACGCAACCUUCCUUUAAGCGGGGAAUAGCCCAGGGAAACUUGGAUUAAUACCCCAUAAGACAGUGGGAUGGCAUCAUCCAGCUGUUAAAGCUCCGGCACUUAAAGAUGGGCGUGCGGCUGAUUAGGUAGUUGGCGGGGUAAUAGCCCACCAAGCCGACGAUCAGUAACUGGUGUGAGAGCACGACCAGUCACACGGGCACUGAGACACGGGCCCGACUCCUACGGGAGGCAGCAGUAAGGAAUAUUGGUCAAUGGACGCAAGUCUGAACCAGCCAUGCCGCGUGGAGGAUGAAGGCCCUCUGGGUUGUAAACUUCUUUUAUUGGGGAAGAAACCCAUCUUUUCUAAGGUGGUUGACGGUACCCAUUGAAUAAGCACCGGCUAACUCCGUGCCAGCAGCCGCGGUAAUACGGAGGGUGCAAGCGUUAUCCGGAUUCACUGGGUUUAAAGGGUGCGUAGGUGGGUAGGUAAGUCAGUGGUGAAAUCUCCAAGCUUAACUUGGAAACUGCCGUUGAUACUAUUUAUCUUGAAUAUAGUGGAGGUGAGCGGAAUAUGUCAUGUAGCGGUGAAAUGCUUAGAUAUGACAUAGAACAUCGAUUGCGAAGGCAGCUCGCUACACUAUUAUUGACACUGAGGCACGAAAGCGUGGGGAUCAAACAGGAUUAGAUACCCUAGUAGUCC
rnacentral:rRNA from 1 species